GUUUAGAGUUAGGGGUUAGGUUUAGAGUUAGGAGCUAGGGUUAGGAGCUAGGGUUAGGUUUAGAGUUAUGAGCUAGGGUUAUGGUUAGGGUCAGGAGCUAUGGUUAGGUUUAGAGUUAGGAGCUAGGGUUAUGGCCAGGGUUAGGUUUAGAGUUAGGAGCUAGGGUUAGGAGCUAUGGUUAGGUUUAGAGUUAGGAGCUAUGGUUAUGGCCAGGGUUAGGUUUAGAGUUAGGAGCUAGGGUUAGGAGAUAGGGUUAUGGUUAGGGAUAGGAGCUAGGGUUAGGAGCUAGGGUUAUGGUUAGGGUUAGGAGUUAGGGUUAGGUUUAGGGUUAAGGUUAUGAUUUGGGGUUAAGAUUAGGGUUAAGGUAAU